rnacentral:tRNA from 1 species
AAUUUUAUAGUUAAAUAAUAACAUUAAAUUGCAAAUUUAAAAUUAUAAAUAAAUUAUUAAAAUUU